rnacentral:misc_RNA from 1 species
CCGUAUUGAGUUAUAAUAUAAAUUCCUAGACUAACGGGGGCCCUCACCCUUUGCUAUUGGCAACUGGUCCCUCAAUACGGCCCCUAACGGCUAAAUUUUUCGAAUAAAUCCAAACAGAAAUGGCCUCCAAAGGUUAUAUCAACGACGAGCACGGCCGAUCGGAUUCGUACCGGGUAGCCACCAUACCGACCAGUUACGAUGAUAUGAAAACGGCGGACGGUCAACCCAAGGCACGGAGGAAAGUGCAAAAAAAGACCAGGAAACCAGGGGACUUAGAUGACCUGAAGCAGGAAUUAGAUAUCGAUUAUCAUAAAAUCUCGUUAGAGGAACUUUACCAGAGGUUUCAAACACAUCCGGAGAAUGGUCUCAGUCAUGCAAAAGCAAAAGAAAACUUGGAACGGGACGGACCCAAUGCCCUCACCCCCCCGAAAACGACACCGGAAUGGGUGAAAUUCUGUAAAAAUUUAUUCGGGGGUUUCGCUCUUCUGCUAUGGAUCGGCGCGAUCUUGUGUUUUAUCGCUUACGGUAUCCAGGCGAGUACCGUCGAGGAACCCGCGGACGACAACUUGUUCUUGGGUAUCGUCUUGGCUGCCGUCGUUAUCGUUACAGGUAUAUUCUCGUACUACCAAGAAAGCAAAAGCUCAAAAAUCAUGGAAUCGUUCAAGAACAUGGUGCCUCAGUUCGCGACGGUCCUACGCGAGGGCGAAAAACUGACCCUGCGAGCCGAGGACCUGGUGCUGGGAGACGUGGUCGAGGUGAAGUUCGGCGACCGCAUCCCCGCCGACAUCCGAAUCAUCGAGUCGCGCGGUUUCAAGGUGGACAACUCCUCGCUAACCGGGGAAUCGGAACCGCAAAGUCGCAGCGCCGAGUUCACCCACGAGAAUCCCCUGGAAACCAAAAAUUUAGCGUUUUUCUCAACCAACGCCGUCGAGGGCACUGCCAAGGGGGUCGUGAUCGCUUGCGGUGACAACACCGUCAUGGGCCGUAUCGCCGGUUUGGCCUCCGGCUUGGACACCGGCGAAACCCCGAUCGCCAAAGAAAUCCAUCAUUUCAUUCAUUUGAUCACCGGCGUCGCCGUAUUCUUAGGAGUCACGUUCUUCGUUAUCGCUUUCAUUUUAGGCUACCACUGGCUGGAUGCCGUGAUCUUCCUUAUCGGUAUCAUCGUAGCGAAUGUCCCGGAAGGUCUAUUGGCGACAGUUACGGUGUGUCUCACCCUCACGGCCAAAAGGAUGGCCUCCAAGAACUGCUUGGUGAAGAAUCUGGAGGCGGUGGAAACGUUGGGUUCCACCAGCACCAUCUGCUCGGAUAAGACCGGUACUUUGACGCAGAACCGGAUGACGGUGGCUCAUAUGUGGUUCGAUAAUCAGAUCAUCGAGGCGGACACGACUGAGGAUCAGUCGGGGGUGCAGUACGAUCGUACCAGUCCGGGAUUUAAGGCGCUUUCACGUAUCGCGACUUUGUGUAACCGGGCUGAAUUUAAACCGGGACAGAAUAACGUGCCGAUAUUGAAACGGGAAGUUAACGGAGACGCUUCUGAGGCCGCUUUGUUGAAGUGUAUGGAAUUGGCGUUGGGUGACGUUAUGGCCAUUAGGAAGAAGAAUAAGAAGGUAUGCGAGGUUCCAUUCAACUCGACCAACAAAUACCAAGUCUCCAUCCACGAAAACGAAGAUCCCAACGAUCCCCGUCACAUUUUGGUGAUGAAGGGCGCCCCGGAACGUAUCCUGGAACGGUGCAGCACCAUCUUCAUUUGCGGCAAAGAGAAGGUCCUGGACGAGGAGAUGAAGGAGGCGUUCAACAACGCAUACCUCGAGCUCGGCGGUUUAGGCGAACGUGUCUUGGGUUUCUGCGAUUUCAUGCUGCCCACCGAUAAAUACCCGAUCGGGUACAAAUUCAAUUGCGACGACCCGAAUUUCCCGUUGGACGGACUCAGAUUCGUAGGACUGAUGUCGAUGAUCGAUCCGCCGCGUGCCGCAGUACCGGACGCGGUCGCCAAAUGUCGUAGCGCCGGCAUCAAGGUCAUCAUGGUAACCGGAGAUCAUCCGAUCACCGCGAAAGCGAUCGCCAAGUCGGUCGGGAUCAUUUCCGAAGGAAACGAAACGGUGGAGGAUAUCGCUCAACGACUCAACAUUCCCGUAUCUGAGGUUAAUCCGAGGGAGGCAAAAGCGGCCGUGGUGCACGGCUCCGAGCUGCGAGAUUUGGCUUCUGAGCAGUUGGACGAGAUCCUGAGGUAUCACACGGAAAUCGUGUUCGCUAGAACGUCGCCGCAACAGAAGUUGAUUAUUGUGGAGGGGUGUCAGAGGAUGGGCGCCAUUGUGGCUGUAACCGGUGACGGCGUGAACGACUCGCCAGCCCUCAAAAAAGCGGACAUCGGCGUAGCGAUGGGCAUCGCCGGCUCGGACGUGUCCAAACAAGCGGCCGACAUGAUUUUACUCGACGACAAUUUCGCCUCGAUCGUGACCGGGGUGGAGGAGGGCCGACUCAUCUUCGACAACUUGAAGAAAUCGAUCGCGUACACCCUCACCUCGAACAUUCCCGAAAUCUCUCCCUUUUUGGCUUUUAUCCUUUGCGACAUUCCUUUACCGCUCGGCACCGUUACUAUCCUUUGCAUCGAUCUCGGAACCGACAUGGUUGAUUUCGAUGGCUUAUGGUCAAAUCGGUAUGAUCCAAGCGGCAGCCGGAUUCUUCGUUUAUUUUGUCAUCAUGGCCGAAAACGGAUUCUUGCCCAUGAAACUGUUUGGAAUACGUAAAAUGUGGGACUCGAAGGCCAUCAACGAUUUGCCCGAUUCUUAUGGUCAAGAAUGGACCUACAAGGACCGAAAAACAUUGGAAUACACCUGUCACACCGCCUUCUUCGUCUCGAUCGUGAUCGUUCAAUGGGCCGAUUUGAUCGUGUGCAAGACCCGCCGUAACUCGAUCGUCCAUCAGGGAAUGCGAAAUUGGGCCUUGAAC